CCCCCUCCCUGAGCCUUACCUUUGUCCGUGGAGGGGGGAAUCUUUAUCCCUGGUGGUCCGGUGGCAGAAUAAGCUUGUUUGCACCCCUGGUGGGUGCAGCCAAUCCUGAAGAGCUCCCUCCCUGGCCGGCCAUGGUAGUGCAGCGGGGUCAGGCUGCCUGUAACACUGAUAGAGCAGCUCCGCAUAGGGCUGCUCAGUUACAGACAGCCUGCAUGCUGUGUUCAGC